GACGAACCGAGCGAACGUUGUUCGGAAUUACUGGCGUAAAGGGCUCGUAGGCGGCCAACUAAGUCAGACGUGAAAUCCCUCGGCUUAACCGGGGAACUGCGUCUGAUACUGGAUGGCUUGAGUUCGGGAGAGGGAUGCGGAAUUCCAGGUGUAGGCGGUGAAAUGCGUAGAUAUCAGGAGGAACACCCGAGGCGAAGGCGGCUCUCUGGGUCGUACCUGACGCUGAGGCGCGAAAGCGUGGGAGCGAACGGG
rnacentral:rRNA from 1 species